rnacentral:tRNA from 1 species
GGGUUAUAGGUUAAAUAAACCUUUGGCCUUCAAAGCCGAGAAUGCGUUAGCUGACCUUG